UACGAAGGGGGCUAGCGUUGCUCGGAAUGACUGGGCGUAAAGGGCGCGUAGGCGGCGGUCACAGUCAGAUGUGAAAUUCCUGGGCUUAACCUGGGGGCUGCAUUUGAUACGUGGUUGCUUGAGUGGGGAAGAGGGUCGUGGAAUUCCCAGUGUAGAGGUGAAAUUCGUAGAUAUUGGGAAGAACACCGGUGGCGAAGGCGGCACCCUGGACCGGCAUUGACGCUGAGGCGCGAAAGCCAGGGGAGCAAACGGG
rnacentral:rRNA from 1 species